rnacentral:rRNA from 1 species
UACGGAGGGUGCGAGCGUUGUCCGGAAUCACUGGGCUUAAAGCGCGUGUAGGCGGGACGGCACGUCGGUCGCUGAAAUCCCCCGGCUCAACCGGGGAACGGGCGCCGAUACGACCGUCCUGGAGGGACGUAGGGGGACCUGGAACUUCCGGUGGAGCGGUGAAAUGCGUUGAGAUCGGAAGGAACGCCCGUGGCGAAAGCGAGGUCCUGGACGUUUUCUGACGCUGAGACGCGAAAGCGUGGGGAGCGAACAGG